UACAAUUAUUUAGAUUCAAUCAUGACCCAGCUUUGGUCUCACUAGCAUAUGGAUGAAUUUCUAAAUUAUUGCUACGAAAACUACCAUGAAAUUGGGAGAAAUUAGGACUUAGCCAGGGCGAUCUCCAAAUCUUAGCAUGCUUUUAUUCCGGGCAGUUCUAUCUUUGAUGCUAUUGUGCUUACUAAUGACAUUUUUCAUUCUUUUAAGAACAAGUCAGGUGUGAAAGGUUGGAUGGCAUUAAAGUUGGAUUUCGACAAGGCCUACGAUAGAGUGUUACUCAAUGGGUCUCCUAUUAAGUCUUUUUGUCCCUGUAAGGGAUUGAGGCAGGGAACCCUCUCUCUCCAUAUUUGUUUAUUAUGGUGUUAGAGGUUUUCUCUAGACUAAUUGAGAAGCACAUUGCUGAUAAGAGUCUGGCUGGGUUUAGUAUUGCUAGAGAAGCUCCUAAAGUUACCCAUUGUUUAUAUGACGAUGAUAAUUUAGUUUUCUUGAAGGCUAAUCAUUCUAAUGCUAUGAAUCCUAGGUAUGUUCUUAACAAGUUUUGCAGGUGGUCUGGACAAGAGUGAAUCUUAACAAAUCUACUCUUAUUACUUCUGCAAACGUUAAAAAGAGAGAUGGUAGGGCUCUUGCUUCCACUAUUGGUGUCAAAUUCAGUCCUAAUCCAGGUAAGUACUUGGGUGUCCCUAUGCAGUGGGGUAGAUUAAGUUAUGAUAUGUUUUCUAGCAUUGUUGAUAAAGUGGAAGCUAGGAUGCAGGGCUGAAAAGGUAGCACUAGUACAAAUCUUCACAUUCGCCACGCUUAAUCACCGUGUCCAUAGGCGUUUGGUCAUGGAUUUUUUUCACUCCAAAAAUGUGGCAUCAGGUGUCGUGACAAACAGUGUUUGAGUCAGCAUCAUGUUCAUCAGGGUCUGAAAGUGGCUGGCCCUGCAGCAAGCAAGUGGAUGUAUAAUUAGGGAACAAACCAUGAUAACAGUUAUAUGCUCAGGAUGCAUAAG